rnacentral:tRNA from 1 species
GGCUUCAUGGUCUAGUGGUAUGAUUCCUGCUUUGGGUACUCUCCAAAGUUGCAGGAGGCCCCGCGUUCGAAUCGCGGUGGAGCCC